CCGGCGGCUACGCUUCCCUCAGCAGCAGCUGCUGCUGCGGCGGGCGGGCUGAGCCAGCCCAGAUGGACCUGGCUGCGGCCCCGGCUGAGGCACGAUAGGCGGCUCCGGCUUGGAGCCUCCCUGCGGGCGAGGGCGGGCGGGCUGGGACAUGACUCUGGGCGCUCCUCGGCCCCCGGCUCCGCGCGGCAGACGCAGCCAGCAGGAAGUUUGCCCGGGUGCAGCGGCGGCCGGGCUCCCGGCAGCGCCGCGCUCCCCCCAUGCACACGCACAGCCCCCGGCUCCGCAGCGGCGCCCAGGAGGCGCCCCGCACCGGCCCCACCAUGGACUCUAGCUGGGGCCGGCAGAGCAGCCCGGAGCUGGGCAGGGGCAAGCGGCUGAGCGUCGGGGAGCUACGCUUGUUCUUCGAGGCUCACUGCGCCGCGGCCGCUGCCGCACGGGAGCUGCCGGACCUGGCCAAGAGGAGCUGCAGCCCCCGCAACGGGCUGCUGCCGCCGGUCAUCCCGCAGCUGACCGUCACCCCCGAGGAGAGCGAGGAGGCGCAGGGCAGCCCCAAAGGGCCCCCGGCGGACCCGGAGAGCUGCUGGCUGGGAACGGGCAGCUCACUGCACCUGCUGCAGUCCCGCCGGCUCUCCAACUCCUCGCUGUCCUCCACGGGCUCCUCGUCCGUCCUCGAGGACUCCGAGGACGACCUGCUGAGCGACACGGAGGGUAGGAGCCAGGGCAUCGUGCAACUGGAGCACGGGGAGGACACCAACCAGGGGCUCCUGAUCCAGCAUGAUUCUGACUCCCUGCCUUUUCAAGCCACAGAAGUCCUGGAAGGAAACAGAUACUGGUUCCACAAUGGGUCAGCUCUAGUCAGAGGAGACUUCAGUCUGCAGAAACAAGGCAACCUUUCCAACUAUCAGCUUAACACAGUGCAAAAUGCUGGGCAUCAGAAAAAAUCAUGGCAUACAAUUAAAACGAUGGUCAACUUGCCAGUCAUCAGCCCCUUCAAGAAGCGCUAUUCAUGGGUGCAGCUGGCUGGGCACACAGGGAGUUUCAAGGCAGCUGACAGCGGUACGAUUCUGAAGCGCUUCUCUGACAAUGAAAAGGAGUGCUUUGAGCUGCUGAUGAAAGAUCCCCUGCGCUCCUGUGUCCCUGCCUUCCAUGGGGUGGUAGAGAGAGAUGGCGAGAAAUACAUUCAACUCGAUGACUUGCUCACUGACUUUGAAGGGCCUUGUGUCAUGGACUGUAAGAUGGGGAUCAGGACGUACCUGGAGGAGGAGCUGACUAAAGCCCGUGAGAAGCCAAAGCUGCGUAAGGACAUGUACAAGAAGAUGAUUGAGGUGGAUCCUCUUGCGCCCACAGCUGAGGAGAACACGCAGCAUGCGGUGACCAAGCCACGUUACAUGCAGUGGAGAGAGACCAUCAGCUCCAGUGCCAACUUGGGCUUCAGGAUAGAAGGGAUUAAGAGGGUUGAUGGGACAUGUAACACAAACUUCAAAACAACUAAGACACGGGAGCAAGUUUUCCAGGUUUUUAUGGAAUUCAUUGAGGGCAACACAACUAUUCUGAAAAAAUACCUCAGGCGUCUGCAUGAUAUCCACCUCAUCCUCGAGUCCUCAGACUUCUUUAAACGACAUGAGGUCAUUGGAAGUUCACUACUCUUUGUGCAUGAUGACAGCGGACAUGCCAAUGUAUGGCUGAUUGAUUUUGGAAAGACCACGCUUCUCCCUGAUGGGCAGACCUUGGACCACAGGAUCCCCUGGCAGGAAGGCAACCGGGAGGAUGGGUACCUGCUGGGAUUGGACAAUUUGAUUAGUAUCUUGGACAGCAUCACUGAAAGAUGAGAAGAGACUCACACAAACUCAUGGGGCUGCUUUGUAACCUUCUACUCUACUAGGACCUCUCCAUUAGAGGUAAAACUCCUUUAAGUCUCUCCAAACUCCUGGGGUUAUUGCAGUGAAAAUGGUGCUGCUUUCAGACCCAGACUGUUCAUGAUGAAAGUGACUGCAUUGGCCUUCCAUGAACCAGAGUGACUCAGGAUUGGUCGUUAGUGAAUCAAAUUAACUUCGGAUUGGUCCUCCGUGAAUCAGGGUCUCCAAACUCAGGAACCAAACCAGCAUGAAUCCAGGAGGUUUGUACAGUAAAUCAGAGUGACUCUGAUUUCAGAUGAACCAAAGUGACUCUAGAUUACCUGUUAGUGAACCAGAGUAAAUGGCAGAUUGCUUGAGGUUAUGGGGAGGGUUGAGCAGAAUUCUCCACUGGAUGGCAUUGCUUUGAAAACAGCAGGAGUGUUUGCUCCCUAACCCCAAGUCACUAGGCUGCCAUUUAUGUUAUAGAUUAGGCAAGGCCCGCCCCAGCUGUUGUAUUACAUUACAAGUGUGUGCAAGAUGGGAAAUCCUCCAGGAAUGAGGCCCAGAAAACAUGGGGAGAAGGGUGAUUAUAGUUCAUGGCAGUGGUUGGUUUAGUGUCUGCAAGGGACAGCUGCUGUUGACCUUUUCUCUUACUCCCUGCCCUGGCCUAUCCUCUUUUCUAUCUAAGAACAUUCUUAACUAUUUCCAGGUAGUUCCUAAUGAGGUCACAGGUAGCCCAUUAAGUAAAUAGCACCAGGUUGUCUCUGGCACUGUGUGACUUUCAAACUGUGUAUGAUAUUGGAGAGGCUGGUGAAGUGGUAAUGCUGGCUCUUGCAGCUGGACAGCAUUUGUGAAAGGUCAAUGGCAUCUCUCUUUAGCAGGUGGGUUGGGGGGCAAAAUUAAUUUUUCAAGGGCUUAGUUAUUUUAGAGAAAAAACCAAAUCUAUCUAAAUACUAGCAAGCCAGUUAUAAACAUGCCACUUUACACCAAGGCUUAGACUCUCCAUCUUUUUGCUUGUGGGUCAGAUUUCCUGGUGGUGCCAUGUUCAUUCUUUUGCCACACCGAAAGUGUCAGGGCAUAAGCUGAGUGGAUCAGAAAGGAAUUGUAUCCCCAUAAACAUCAUUACACUGUUGGCUAUAUCUGUUAUGGGCAUUCUUCCUUGGAAGCAUGAGGUAUUCACCACUUUUGAAAGCAAGAUAUUACAUUACUAGACUAGAGGUCUGAUUGCUGUGCCAUAUACCCUGAUUGGGGCCUCUAGGUGCUACCACAAUACAAAUUAAUAUUUCUGUGCUCAUCCCAUAUCCAGAUAUCUGACAGUGCAGUUUCCAAGUUGGAGCCAUCUGCCAUGUAACAAGACCAUAUAGUCAUUAAAAUCACUUUCUUUAGAAGUUAAAAGUUGUUUAAGCAACAUCAGUUGAUCAGAAAUCACUCUCUUUUGCCAAUACAACUGUAGUCAAAAGAAACUUCAGAAAUUUUGGAAUAACUGAAAGUAGUUCCUUGCUUCUGUCAGGAAUCACUACACCAAUGAUCACUGCAAAAUGAGGUAAAGGAGACUGUACAAUUCUUGUUUGGAGCUAAAUGUACAUGAUGUAAUGGUUGUAUUAAGGGUUGAGGAGCCUAGGAUAACUUCUCAAGGAAGCCACUUUGGUUCAUUUACUGGAAUGAAGUUGGAGCCCAGUCAAGUUUAAUAACCUCAGUUAUUUUUCAUCUACAUUAAAGAAAGCAUUGAUGUUAAUAGUGCUGCCAUGCCAACAGUGACCUAGAAGAUCAGUUAUCCAAGGUACUACUGGGGAAGCAAUUGAAAUAGAGCAGUGUGAGUAUUUUACACCAAAACUGAAAUUGCUCAAAAUCUGAAAUUUGUUUUUAUAUUUAGUUGAAAAUUCAAAACUUUCCCUAUGUUUGUGAAUCUUUUGGGGUUUAUAUUCAGUGAAAAUGGUCCUGUUUUUGAGCUGAAAAAGGUACAAGUUCGCUUGAAAUAGGACAUGACUUACAGAAAAUGUAGGCCCCUUUUCAAGUGAAUGCAGUCUUUCAUAGAAAGCAUGCAUGGUUUUAUUCCAAAUGUCCCUAGGUUGUGAAAUAUUUUAAGAUAGCAAAAUGACCUGCAGUGAAAUUUGCCAAAAAUAUGGUGAAAAUGUUUUCCUACUUUCCCAUAGCCCUAAUAAAAACAACCCUGCUUGCAAUGAUUCAAGAGAACGGGUUAAAAUAGACUAGGAAACACAAAUUGUUCUUUACAGUUUGAAUCUGAGUUCUUACAGGGGAUAAUUAGAUGAGAAAACCCCUGGUUUUCAUCAUGUGAUUGUUAUUUCAGGCACUCCUGCCAGGGACAAAAAUAAUAAAAUCACAGAAGUUAGAGAUGGUAAUGCAGCAAUUCUCCCUGCAAGUGCAAAAUUAUUACUUAAGGUUCAUUUAAUAACACUUUGUCCUGUCUAGUUUUAAUUGGCAGUGAGAGUUAAAUUUCUUUCUUUCGUGAGUACAUAUGCCAGCAUUUUGCACCUAUGCAACCUCAUGCUCUAGGGAAAAAUUGGUGAUGAAUUUCCUUUGAGCAGAAUUUAGAAACCAAGAUCUAUCUAGGACUCAUGUCAAAUCUGUUUAGUUCUACAGUUCCAAAUGGAAGUUGGAGGCAACACGGAAGCAAUAGCUCCAAAAACAGCAGUGCUGUCAUUUGAAAAGGUAUUUUGCAGUAGACAAUCUCAGGGGAAAGUGCUCUGUCAUGGAAAGGGAUCCAUUCCUGUGCACUUGUUGGAAAGGACAGCAGAAGGAAAAGCUUUAUUACAAGAGACAUCGAGCUGUGAAACUCUGUCCAUUUCAAAAUGACAAUUGUAGCAAAGUUGUUUUGAAGUGGCUUUUUGGCCUAUACCAGAACUAGUUUGGAAGAAGCUACAAUCCAACUCCUACUUGCUGGUAGACAGCUGUGGAGUCAGUUAUAUGAAAGAAGAAAGGGGAGGGAGUUUUGUACAGCAGUUAGAACAUGGAACUGGGAGCCAGGACUCCUAGACUGUUUCCUAUCUCUGCCACUGACUUGCUUUGUGGUCAUGGGCAAACUUCCUAUGCCUCAGUUUUCCCAUCUGUAAAAUGGGAACAAUAAUACUUACCUACCUCACAGGGAUGUUGUGAGGCUUCAUUAAUUAUUGUUCGUAGGGUGCUUUGAGAUCGUUGGAGGAAAGAUGCAGUAUAGAGAAAUGCAAAGAAAUAGUUAAACUGAAUUAAAAAUAACUGAUUUUUGUCCAUCCCUUAAGGAUGCAAGUUCAGAUGAAACUCAGCCCAAGAAAUUUAAAUUGAAAUCCCUUUUAUGAUGAUAUACAGAGGGAAGAAGUCACUUUGGGUCUGAUCCAAUUCCUGUUGAAGUAAAUGGAAAGACUUCACUGGGAGUUGGACCAAACCCUUAAACAAUUCAGAGGGCCCUUGCUUAUUUUUUGUAUUAUUAUUAUUACUGUUUGUUAUUAUCAAGAUACUGAGAACUAAUGGCCUGUAUCCUCUACAGUGCAUCCUGUUCUGAACACUACAGUGCAAUUAUGACCAAGGUCAUUUUUGACAUUCUGACUGUAUCGUUUGAGUACUUGUUAUUCCAAGAGAAACCCUGCAGGAGAUUAUUUCUCCAAAUGUUUCUGUUGGACUUCUUUGAAGUUCCUGUAAGGCAAUGUUUGGUAGCUGUGCUGAUGGAUGGGUAAAUGUUUUAUAUUGGCUUUGCAGGGCAACAGCACACCACAGUUUGCAUUUUGUUCUCAUUGUUGCUCUUUACAUAGUCUAAGAACUGUGUUUGAUGUAGGAGUUCUAAGAGUGCAUCCCAAUACCCAAGACAUAUUUGAUAUAAUGGGACUUGAGCCCUGAAGGUUAGAAGAGAAACCAGAACAAAUACUGUCUUAACUGGUCACAUCAUGUGCUGUCAUUUUGAAUUUACUUCCACUUAAACUGAG